GCUCAUCUUAAAUAUGAGGGUUCUUCAGCGGGGAUCUGAGCGUUAUUAUUAUAGAUAUUCAGUCGGGUGAUGAUGUGAAAGCAUUAUCUGAGACCCGGACGAGUCAUUUUUGGAAAUGAAAGGAAACCUCGCUACGAUUCAGCAAUAUCGUCGUCAUAAAGUGAAGCUCUCACAUGAUGAGGCCCACAUACAGUGGUAAGGCUGGAGCACAACGCACUGGUCAAGGCACUGGGCUGCCCCCAACUCGCGCGACCGUGACUUACGACGCCGCCGCCGCAAUCCCGGACUCUGGAAAACAUUAAGAACCCACUGCACAGUUUUCCAAAAAAUCAGCAUAUGUACAUAGCUGUGUAGCUGUGUAGCGUGCUGAUUGACAAGUGGGUUGACGUCAGUGACCAAAAGGGAAACCUGCAGCUGCAUCAGGCCGAGAGGGAGAAACAUCUGGUGGUGAUCAGGCUGCAUCUGGAGAAUACCCAUCCGCAGAGUGACCGGACUCCAGUGGGGACUCAUUAUGACUAUAUCUUCUCGGACAACCUCUGAAAGUUUUCGUCCAUUUGCUCUGGGACCAGUAAGACGAAGCAGAAGACUGGAAGCGAACCAGUGAAACCCCUCUCCUCACUCAAGACUGUGUUUAUAAUUUUCUGUUGUCUCCACAGAUUGAAGAUUUCAGUAUGGGUCUGUUGCUAAUGCAACAAUGCCAUAAACAAAUGAGAAAAGAAUCAUCAUCAGGUACGAUAGUCACUUGAUGGGUCCAAAUAUCACUGACAAUAUUUCAUGUUUUCCAUUAAUAAAAUACAUAGUGCAACAUAUUCUGUUAGGGAAGAAUUAAGUUCACUGACAAUUGCCUUAUAGCUUUUAGUAGAGAAACUUUACUUCUUAUGAAUUCAACAGGAAAGAUGAAUUGUGAAAGUGACUUCCUCUGCUGAGAUUAUUAGAAAUGUCAGAGCAGUGUGUGUGUGUACUGUGGGUAUUUCACCAAAGUUGUGCAGCCGAACUGACUCUUAUCUUUAGCUUUAACAGAAACACAUGCAGGUGAUUACAACAUUCCUGUUUGCUAAUAUUUGAUCUCGUGUUGCUUUUUGGAACAGCAUCUCUUUGUUAGUAUUUUUUUUAGAUUUCUUACGAAUAAUCACUAUCUCCACUAUUAUGCAGUCUAGAUUUAUGUGAUUCUCAGAUUAGUUUGUUAAAGGAUACAUCUCUAAAAAUAAAACUCUUGGUAAAGGCGAGGUAAGGAACCCUCUAAGACACGAAU